UUUCAACAGAAAGAAAGCUGCAGAGGUGUUCAAGUUUGGACCAGACGAAGAUGAAUUGACGUAGCAGUGAAUUUAUUAUAAAGAGUAUUUGUGGUUUUUUAAGCAUUGACAACGUCUGCCAUAUGAAGCAAAUAUACACACACAUACAUAAAUAUAUAAAUAUAUAAAUAAAUAUAUAUAUAUAUAUAUACAGCUAAAACCUUAAACUCUGAGCGCGAAAAGGGC